UCUUGACACAUGCUAAUCGAACGUUUUAAUAGGUAGCUUGCUACAUAAAUUAAAAAGUGGUGUACAGGUGAGUAUAAUGAUAUUCUUAGCCGACCUUAAAGUGGAGGUAAAUCCUUCAUAAUACAUAAAGGGAUAUGUAAUCCUGCUUUAAGAGGACAAUAAAUAUCUUCGAGAUAGGUAGUAGUUAAGGUGAUGGCUUAACUAGCCUAAAACUCUCGUAGUCGAAUCUGAAAGGUUGAUCGACCACAUUGGGUCUGAAAAAACCCCAAUGCAAGUUAGUACAGCAGUGAGGAAUCUUGGUCAAUGGCCUAACGGCUGAACUGGCAACUUGGAGAAGUGGCAAGUCUUAUUUUGAUUAUAUUAUUAUAUAUAAUCUAUAAGAUUGUAUUAAAAUUGAAUAAAGCUUUGUUUAUAUAUCGAUAAUGACGGUAUAUAUAUCGUGUCUUGGCUAAUUACGUGCCAGCAGCCGCGGUAAUACGUAAGAGACUAGUGUUAUUCAUCUUAAUUAGGUUUAAAGGGUACCUAGACGGUCAAUAUAGCUUCUAUAAUGUUAGUACUUGACUAGAGUUUGAUAUAAGAGGGCAGUACUUGAGGAGGAGAGAUGAAAUUCUAUUAUACCAAAGGGACUCGGUAAAGGCGAAGGCAGCCCUCUAUGUAAAAACUGACGUUGAAGGACGAAGGCACAGAGCACAAACAGGAUUAGAUACCCAAGUAGUCUUUGCAGUAAAUGAUGAAUGUCAUAGGUUAGAUUAAGCUUUAAUAAAUUAGUUUAUCAGUAAUGAACUAACUAUUAAACAAUAUUUAGUCUAUAAAUGAAAGUGUAAGCAUUCCACCUCAAGAGUAAUGUGGCAACGCAGGAACUGAAAUCACUAGACCGUUUCUGACACCAGUAGUGAACUAUGUUAUUUAAUUCGAUAA
rnacentral:rRNA from 1 species